UGGAGCCAGCCACCAGGUCAGACAUGCUGAAUCUUUCCCGUGUCUACCCUUGCCCUCCUUGCCCCCGAUGCACUCACCAGCUACGGAGGAGACCACAACAAUGCUGCCACUGCUCUGCUUCAGCAUGGGCAAGGCGGCGGCACUCAGGACCACGUAGCUG